rnacentral:lncRNA from 10 species
UAUCGGGAAUCUUAUUGUUGGCUGCAUGGCUAAUUCAGCAUCUGUAAUAAUGAUGAGAAAUUCAUUUCCAUCUAUCUUGCUCUUUCUUUAUCUUAUAAUUCGUUCAGAACUUAAUUAGAAAAGAGGAGUGUAAUUAUUUAUGGCCCAUCUUCAAUCCAACACCAUAAUUUUUAGAGAUGGAAGCUUGGGAACUGUGGAGGGGAAGGCCAUUAGAAACGGAGUGAUCAAAGAACAGAGAGACCGAAGUGUUAGAUGAGUUCUUCCAAUAGAUGUUGGAGUCACUCAGGAUGUGGGACUUGGGACAGAGAGGAGGGUUAGCAACCAGGUUUCACAAUAUUUAAUCCACGGGGAGGACUGAGCAUGAGAUCAGGUCAAGGGUAUGGUGUGAGCCAACAAAGAGCUGAAUUUUGUUUUGUUUUAUUUUUUUAAACUGCUCAUGUCUAAUGUUUGGAAAUGGCAAUGGGAACAAACAGGAAACCAGCUCCAUGACCUAUAAAUGGGUCAACAGCAAAGUCAUGUGGAGCAUGACAGAGAUGAUGGCAUAGUGAGAUUAACAGCCACGGGAACUCAGGCUUUGGAACUGAAGGAACAACAGCAGGGCUUCCAGGCAGGGAUGAUUUAGUCUAAACAGUCUGAGUAGUCAGGAGUUCGCUUCCUCAGCCCAUAAAUCUUCUUAGUACCCAUUACUUUUUGGUGCGAUUUCGAGAAGGCUUUGCAGCCCACCACAACAGGGCUUCUAUCAUAAGGACUUCUAACUGAAGUUACAAAGGGAGCUGAGGAAGGCAGGCUGGUUGCAAGGUUAGUAUCUUCUACCCUCUUAUUGACCCCACUUCCAUUUCCACAGGCACUGGUGUUCCAAUCUUUGGGCAGCAUCAGGGAGAAGUGCCUGCUUCCAUGCACUGACACACUUGGGUGGAAAUGUGAGGGAGUCACACACAUCUCCAUUUCCAUCCACAUCGACUUGGCCUUGGCACUCAACUGCAGCAGUUUCCCUCAGCUCCUUCACCCUAAAUGUGCCCAGCGUUGUUUUUUUUUGUGUGUGGCAGUUAGACUACUUUCAGGUACCUAGGUGGGCCCUCCUCCAGCCUCAUCAUUGGGUGACCCUCUGGAAACAUAACCACUUCCUCCUGCAUUCCAGCGCCUGGUGCGCCCUACAGCUUGAGAUCACUUUGUCCGAGCAGCACGGGCUGCUGCAGAUUCCA